UCCACCGGGACAAGUUAGUUAACUACUCCCUCCGUCCGAUAUUAAGUGGCAUUCUAUUACAUGUAUCUAAACGUUUUUUAAACAGAUACAUUCGUAUUUGGACAAACUUGAGUCACU